rnacentral:rRNA from 1 species
AUUGAACGCUGGCGGCAGGCCUAAAACAUGCAAGUCGAACGAGUGGCGGACGGGUGAGUAAUGUCUGGGAAACUGCCUGACGGAGGGGGAUAACUACUGGAAACGGUAGCUAGUACCGCAUACAGUCGGAUGUGCCCAGAUGGGUUUAGCUUGUUGGUGGGGUAACGGCUCACCAAGGCGACGAUCCCUAGCUGGUCUGAGAGGAUGACCAGCCACACUGGAACUGGGUCACGGUCCGGACCAGUUGGGGAGGAAGCAGUGGGGAAUAGUUCAUAAUGGGCGCGAGCCUGAUGCUGCCAUCCGCGGUGUAUGAUCAAGCCCUUCGGGUUGUAAAGUACUGUCAGCGGGGCGGAGUUCCCCGCAGAAGAAGCCCAGGCUCACUCCGUGCUAGCAGCCGCGGUAAUAC